rnacentral:lncRNA from 1 species
AAACUUAAGGUGGUACCUAACACUACAGGGAGAUAACUCUGUUAGGUCAGCUAAACGUUUUAAUUACAUUGUGUUGUAAAAGGAAUAUUAAGCUUCUCAAUGAUCAAAAUUGGUGUUUGUCAAACUGCUAUAUAACCAGUGUAAUUUUUCUGACAAAACGGUUGGUUAAAAUUUUUUGAAAUUUUUAUAUUUUUGUUACAGGGUCAAAGUAAGUACUUUGACAAAAUUUUAUGAAAAUUAAACGAGCCAAAUUAAUUUUAGUGCAAGUGUUGGGUACCACCUUAAUUUUAAGUUAA